AAAGUAGUCUCCACAACCAGAAAGAAAGACUUUUUCAGACAGCUUGAAGAAAACACAUGGGUACAUGGAGACACAUUGGAUCUGCUAUUCGCCCACUUGCAGAAUAAAAUGUUGCAUCUCAAGCACCAUUGCAAGCGUUCUUUUAGAAUAUUACAUUCCUCUUUUCUGACUGGAAUCAAUAAACCAGACUGCAUUGUUUGGAACCACAUUUUUGAUACUCAUCUGGUGACACCAGAUAAUAAGAAAGCUGAAUGGACAGACCCAACAGCACACCUAACUAUAUGGACA